AUACUUCAACCCUCCUCUUUCUUAAUGAUUGAAGAGGUGUUUGGUUUCUGAGCGCUGCUGGCCUUUACGGUCUAGCUCGUUCGUAAUGCAUUAGCAUCCGCAAUCGAACUUCGGAUUGACUUGGCGUAAUAGACUAUUCGCUGAGGAAUUCUAGUCUUCGGAUUAGAGCCGGGUUGGGUUAAAGGAAGCUUCUAAUCAGAAUGUCUACAUUUUAAGAU
rnacentral:misc_RNA from 1 species